UGAUGUACUCUAUGUUUCCUUUGCAUACAUGGAUGUCUCAAUGGCCAACAAAGGCUAAGGAAUUUUUUGUUGAAUCUUAUUGACAUGAUAGUUGUAUCUAGUGAGCGAUCUCAGCGGUGUAGCAUUUGAAUAAUCACCUAAGUUGGCCUUAGCAAUUUCUGCUGCCAUAGCCAGGGCAAGCAACGAUUGAGAUGAUGAAGCUUUUAUCGCUUCAUAUACUGUUAAAGAAAUGGUGUUUGUGACGUGCAGUUAUUAGUCAUAAAAAGAACAUUUGCACACUGAAUGAUGUAAUUCUGAUGCAAGUGUGAUUUAAUCAAGAAUUGAUGCUUGUAUUUCUUGGUCAACGGUGAUUUAUUGGUAAUCUAGAUCUUAUUCUUCAGGUGCUUGUGCUGAAAUAUUUUAUUGCCUUGUUAAUUCCAAAAUUUGAAUGUAACCAUGGGGCUCAGGGCUUUGUAUACUUAUCUUCAAUGUGUAUACUUUGAUCAAUUUAAGGGAGGGGAUAUGAUAUAUUGGCAAAAGAGGCUGGAUUAUUUGUCUACUUGGAUAGUUGUGGUAAUCUCUAAUGAGAAACAUUUGCAUUCUUUUGCUUAAGCCUUAUCCAGCUAAAUAACAGUCUUAUGAUAAUUUGUAGCUUUAUAGAGGAGUUUUUUUCAGGUCAUGGCCGACUGGUCUUAAUUUCAACUAUAUAAUGUUUAAUAGAUCAUAUGCUGAUAUGUUCUACCAUGUGUGGUUAAAGAGCAAGUUACUGAUAAUACAGGCAGAAUGCCCAAGGUUUAUGCAUGCUUUUGUGGAAACAUCA
rnacentral:misc_RNA from 1 species